rnacentral:rRNA from 1 species
GAUGAACGCUGGCGGCGUGCCUAAUACAUGCGAGUCGAGCGAACGGACGAUAAGCUUGCUUCUCUGAUGUUAGCGGCGGACGGGCGAGUAACACGUGGAUAACCUACCUAUAAGACUGGGAUAACUUCGGGAAACCGGAGCUAAUACCGGAUCAUAUUUUGAACCGCAUGGUUCAAAAGUGAAAGACGGUUUUGCUGUCACUUUUAGAUGGUCCCGCGCUGCAUUAUCUAGUUGGUAAGGUAACGGCUUACCAAGGCACCGAUGCAUAGCCGACCGGAGAGGUGGUUCGGCCACACGGAAACUGGACAACGUCCCAGCUCCCUAGGGAAGGCAGCAGGGGGAAUAUUGCCGAAAGGGGCGAAAGCCUGACGAAGCAACGCGGCGGGAGUGAGGAAGGUCUUCGGAUCGUAAAACCCUGUUAUUAGGGAAGAACACAUGUGUAUAUAACUGUGCACAUCUGGAGGGUACCAAAGCAGAAAGCCCCGCUAACUUACUU